rnacentral:rRNA from 1 species
UACGUAGGGUGCGAGCGUUGUCCGGAUUUAUUGGGCGUAAAGAGCGCGUAGGUGGUUUGUAAAGUCGGAUGUGAAAGUCCGGGGCUCAACUCCGGAUCUGCGGUGGGUACGGGCAGACUAGAGUGAUGUAGGGGGAGACUGGAAUUCCUGGUGUAGCGGUGAAAUGCGCAGAUAUCAGGAGGAACACCGAUGGCGAAGGCAGGUCUCUGGGCAUUAACUGACGCUGAGGAGCGAAAGCAUGGGGAGCGAACAGG